GAUGAACGCUGGCGGCGUGCCUAACACAUGCAAGUCGAACGAAGCGACUGGAGGAAGUUUUCGGAUGGAAUCCGGUUGACUGAGUGGCGGACGGGUGAGUAACGCGUGGAUAACCUGCCUCACACUGGGGGAUAACAGUUAGAAAUGGCUGCUAAUACCGCAUAAGCGCACAGUACCGCAUGGUACGGUGUGAAAAACCCAGGUGGUGUGAGAUGGAUCCGCGUCUGAUUAGCCAGUUGGCGGGGUAACGGCCCACCAAAGCGACGAUCAGUAGCCGACCUGAGAGGGUGACCGGCCACAUUGGGACUGAGACACGGCCCAAACUCCUACGGGAGGCAGCAGUGGGGAAUAUUGCACAAUGGGCGGAAGCCUGAUGCAGCGACGCCGCGUGAGUGAAGAAGUAUCUCGGUAUGUAAAGCUCUAUCAGCAGGGAAGAAAAUGACGGUACCUGACUAAGAAGCCCCGGCUAACUACGUGCCAGCAGCCGCGGUAAUACGUAGGGGGCAAGCGUUAUCCGGAUUUACUGGGUGUAAAGGGAGCGUAGACGGCGACGCAAGUCUGGAGUGAAAGCCCGGGGCCCAACCCCGGGACUGCUUUGGAAACUGUGCUGCUGGAGUGCAGGAGAGGUAAGUGGAAUUCCUAGUGUAGCGGCGAAAUGCGUAGAUAUUAGGAGGAACACCAGUGGCGAAGGCGGCUUAC
rnacentral:rRNA from 1 species